rnacentral:tRNA from 1 species
GGGCGGGUAGCUCAACUGGAAGAGCGCGGGUUCCCCCACCCGAUAUGCCGGUUCGAUCCCGGCGCCGUCCA